rnacentral:rRNA from 1 species
GACGGAGGGUGCUAGCGUUGUUCGGAAUGACUGGGCGUAAAGGGCGCGUAGGCGGCCGCUUGCGUCGGAUGUGAAAGCCCGGGGCUCAACCCCGGAACGGCAUCCGAUACGGGGCGGCUCGAGACCGAGAGAGGUGAGUGGAAUACCCAGUGUAGAGGUGAAAUUCGUAGAUAUUGGGUGGAACACCGGUGGCGAAAGCGGCUCACUGGCUCGGUUCUGACGCUGAGGCGCGGAAGCGUGGGGAGCAAACAGGG